rnacentral:rRNA from 1 species
AGUGAACGCUGGCGGUAGGCCUAACACAUGCAAGUCGAACGGCAGCACAGUAAGAGCUUGCUCUUACGGGUGGCGAGUGGCGGACGGGUGAGGAAUACAUCGGAAUCUACUUUUUCGUGGGGGAUAACGUAGGGAAACUUACGCUCAUACCGCAUACGACCUACGGGUGAAAGCAGGGGAUCUUCGGACCUUGCGCGAUUGAAUGCGCCGAUGUCGGAUUAGCUAGUUGGCGGGGUAAAGGCCCACCAAGGCGACGAUCCGUAGCUGGUCUGAGAGGAUGAUCAGCCACACUGGAACUGAGACACGGUCCAGACUCCUACGGGAGGCAGCAGUGGGGAAUAUUGGACAAUGGGCGCAAGCCUGAUCCAGCCAUACCGCGUGGGUGAAGAAGGCCUUCGGGUUGUAAAGCCCUUUUGUUGGGAAAGAAAAGCAGCAGGUUAAUACCCCGCUGUUCUGACGGUACCCAAAGAAUAAGCACCGGCUAACUUCGUG